rnacentral:rRNA from 1 species
UGAGGAAUAUUGGUCAAUGGGCGCAAGCCUGAACCAGCCAUCCCGCGUGCAGGAAGACGGCCCUAUGGGUUGUAAACUGCUUUUCCAGGGGGAGAAUUUUUCUGUCGUGACAGGAAUUGACGGUACCCUGGGAAUAAGCAUUGGCUAACUCCGUGCCAGCAGCCGCGGUAAUACGGAGGAUGCGAGCGUUAUCCGGAUUUAUUGGGUUUAAAGGGUGCGUGGGCGGAUUGAUAAGUCAGUGGUGAAAACCUGCAGCUUAACUGUAGACUUGCCGUUGAUACUGUCAGUCUUGAGUGUGGUCAAGGUAGGCGGAAUGUGUAAUGUCGCGGUGAAAUGCUUAGAUAUUACACAGAACACCGAUUGCGAAGGCAGCUUACUGGGCCAUUACUGACGCUGAUGCACGAAAGCGUGGGGAUCGAACAG